CACACAAACAUACAAGCUUCAAUCAGUGAUCACAGCUUGAGAGGAUUGCGCGCGUACAGAGACUCGGACAGGAAGCAGCGAGCACAGACAACAAUCAAAUCGACUCCACGUUAUACCCCCCUCCACACACACACACACACACACACACACACACACAUCCUUUAGCCGAGAAUGUUCCGUCGUCUUGCCACCCGCUCCACGUCCUUCGUGACGGGGGCCGCCGUGCAGGCGCGUCACACCACCAUUCUUUCUGUGCGAAAGGGCAACAAAGUAAUCCUUAUUGGGGACCGUCAGGUGACCUUGGGCGAGCGUAUUGUGGCGAAGAGUAGCGCCUGCAAGCUGCGCAAGCUCAACGACAACGUUGUAAUUGGCUUCGCCGGCAGCACGGCGGACGCUUUUGCGUUGAUGGAAAAACUGGAAAACAAGUUGAACGACUUUCCGGAGCAGCUGUCUCGCGCCGCGGUGGAGCUGGCAAAGGACUGGCGCACCGACCGCGCCCUCCGCCGCCUCGAGGCAUCCCUCAUUGUGUGCAGCAAGGAGGAGACGUUGGAGAUUGAUGGGCAGGGCAACGUAAUCACCCCUGAGGCUGACGGCAUCAUCGCCAUUGGCUCGGGUGGCACGUAUGCCAAGGCGGCGGCUCGUGCGCUUAUUGACGUUGACGGCUAUGAUGCAGAACGCAUCGCGCGCAAGGCGAUGAGGAUUGCCACCGACAUCGAUGUCUUCAGCAACAGCAACUGGGAUGUGGAGAUCUUGACGCGUGAGGAAGAAGCGGUAAAGAAGGAGGAGGCGGAGAAGGCGGAGAAGGCGCAGAAUGAGGCGCAGAGCAAGGAAUAGAGGAAGGUGUAAGAGUGUGCUCGUCUUAGCGGUUGGCGUGCAGCGUCGUCCCUUCUUUGCAGCACCAUCAGCUUUCCGUAUUGUAGCGCACGCCAGCGCACGGCCCCCGCUUCCUCGUGCAUCUCGCUACCGUGGCAGUCGCACUUCCGUGCGAACCAUUUUUUUUGUCCGUGUUCUUUGUGUUCUUCCUCUGUUGAGGUGCUGCCGGUGUUUCUGUCGUUGUUGGUAAGGCAUAACAUAAUCCCCACCCUCCCCCGGCUCUGUGGUGUCGGCUUUGAGUGCUGCUGACGCCAGCGCCGUUUCGCACCCCCGCCUGCUGGGAUCGGCGGUGAGGGUGCGGAGAACGCAAAGCGACUUCCGCGGGGCAGAAGGCGAUACCUGCAACGGCUCCGCCUAAUCAAGGAGAAGCGGUGGCGGCCACGCACAGGAUUCUGUCGCGUGCACAAAAUGUGCGGCUGUUGCACAAUCUUUCCGGCAACCGCCGUUGCUGCACACCCCCGCCCUCAUGCCCCCCUCCUCACCCACCCACCCCCACAGGCACACACGUGUAUUCUGCGUUUGUUCUCUCUUACGCUCUUCUCAUUUUUCCUCGUCACUGAACUCGCGAACCAGAGCAUCGUUGCCGCUGCUCACGCUUCGGAUUGCACCUCUCCUUUCUCUCUCUCGCUGUUUCGCUUUCCUCUCCCCCUCCCCACCCGCUUUCGCGAUCCCGCCGGCACGUAAAUGGCUUAG
rnacentral:misc_RNA from 1 species